CUUCCAGUAGCACCUGAGAGACCAACUAAGUUUGUUAUUGGUAAUAACAAACUUAGUUGGUUUCUAAGGUGCUACUGGAAG